rnacentral:rRNA from 1 species
CCUACGGGAGGCUGCAGUGGGGAAUAUUGGACAAUGGGGGCAACCCUGAUCCAGCCAUGCCGCGUGUGUGAAGAAGGCCCUCGGGUUGUAAAGCACUUUCAGUGACGAAGAACGCCUGGUGGUUAAUACCCAUCAGGAAAGACAUCACUCACAGAAGAAGCACCGGCUAACUCCGUGCCAGCAGCCGCGGUAAUACGGAGGGUGCGAGCGUUAAUCGGAAUUACUGGGCGUAAAGCGCGCGUAGGUGGCUUGAUAAGCCGGUUGUGAAAGCCCCGGGCUCAACCUGGGAACGGCAUCCGGAACUGUCAAGCUAGAGUGCAGGAGAGGAAGGUAGAAUUCCCGGUGUAGCGGUGAAAUGCGUAGAGAUCGGGAGGAAUACCAGUGGCAAAGGCGGCCUUCUGGACUGACACUGACACUGAGGUGCGAAAGCGUGGGUAGCAAACAGGAUUAGAUACCCUGGUGGUC